rnacentral:misc_RNA from 1 species
CUCGCCGCCUUCCACUCCCCCAAACACACACGCUCAUACGCUCAUAUAGCACUCGUGCGCACCGACACACCCACACCCCCUCCUCUCUCUCUUCUCCCCAACCUACCCAUCGCAGCCAUGGCUACUCCUCGCAGCGCCAAGAAGUCCGCCCGCAAGAGCGGCUCCAAGUCCGCGAAAUGUGGUCUGAUCUUCCCGGUGGGCCGCGUUGGCGGGAUGAUGCGCCACGGCCAGUACGCUCGCCGCAUCGGUGUCUCUGGCGCCGUGUACCUGACAGCCGUGCUGGAGUACCUGACAGCGGAGCUGCUGGAGCUGUCCGUGAAGGCGGCCGCGCAGAGCGGGAAGAAGCGGUGCCGCCUGAACCCGCGCACCGUGAUGCUGGCUGCGCGCCACGACGACGACAUCAGCUCGCUUCUGAAGAACGUGACCUUGUCUCACAGCGGCGUUGUGCCGAACAUCAGCAAGGCGAUGGCGAAGAAGAAGGGCGGCAAGAAGGGCAAGGCGACACCGGGCGCUUAGAUACCCUUUUGGAGGUUCUGUUGCCGCUGAGGAGAGCAGAGUCGCACUGGGAGUCGGGCGGGGAGGGGGACGUGCACGUUCUGGUGCGGACAGGUGUGGACAGCGGAGCAACCGGAAGUUUUUUGUGCAAGACGCACGUGCUCUGACGGCAUCCGUGCCUUGUCUGUCGCUGUGUUGUGCCUCCCACUACCUCCCUCCCGUUUCCUUCCCCCCUCCCCCCCGCACAUCUGGGUGCGCGUGCAUGAGGAGGUUAGAAGCACGCACGUACAUACCCAGGCAUACCCACAGGCAUGCGACACGCGAGCCGACGCCCCCUUCUCCCUCCACCUAUAGCGACACACAUGCCCGCGAGAACGCAUAUAUACAACUAUCUACCUAUAUAUUUAUGCAUAUAUAUAUAUAUAUAUACAUAUAGACAACGAUGCACUCGGUGUGCUGCUUCUUCUUUUCCCUGCUUCCUCUUAAGUGCCCUCUGUGAGCUGCGGUGCUUCCUUUUUUUCUCCCACUCUCCUCCCUGAAAUAUUUCCGAACUGUGCGCGUCAUCUUCCCUUCCCCCCUCCCCUCGCACACCUCUCCCCUCCCCCUCCGGCUGGCUCCUUCUACACAGAGGUGAUGGGGAGAUGAGAGAACUGACAACGUGGUGGACAGAGGACGGAGGAGGGGUGGGGACGCAGGGGCAGAGCAGCAACAAAGUAGCGCAACGCUAUGGCCAACAGCUAUCGAUGUGUCAUUCUUAUAACGCAUAGCGGAUGCAAGCGGGAAUCAGACUGGCAGCGCUGCGCCGGCGUCUCUUUCCCCUUCUUCGUGUCCACGCUGCGAACGCUUUGGGGGCGACACGGGACAAGACGUGAAGAAAACACGCUGGAGUUGCCCAGCCGAUGCCACGCCUGAAAGCCAUCCCUUAUUUUCUUCUGCGCGUGCGUGUGUGUGCGUGUGUGCGUGUGCUCUCCCCCCGUCCGCGAUGGCGUCAUAUUUUUUCUCUCGGCUUUCCUUUCGCACCACUGCCUCCCAUGUUCGCCGUUGUGACUGCGCAAUGCACUUCGCUAGCCCUCCUUCCCUUGUCCUUCUCUCGCUCUUUUCAUCCACUGAUUCCCCUGCCCUUCACCCUCCCCCCUCCGACCAUAUCGGCUGCUGCUGCUGCUGCUGCUCAUGCGAUUAACUCACGCAAACGCGUCUUCUCCUCCUUCAG